UAAAUCAAUUCGGAGGUGUUAUCUGGUUACAAAAACAGCAAUUUUGGAUUUAGAAAGGUUUAUUUCUCAGUAACUUUUACAUAAUAGAUGAGAAACAGUUUUG